UGUCUCUUAGUUUAUUUGGUAUAACAUCAGAUUUUGACUCUGAAGGGUAGGUUCAAAUCCUGCAGAGGCAG
rnacentral:tRNA from 2 species